rnacentral:rRNA from 18 species
ACUCUAACAGGACUGCCUACGCAAGUAGAGAGGAAGGUGGGGACGACGUCAAGUCAUCAUGGCCCUUACGACCAGGGCUACACACGUGCUACAAUGGAGGGUACAGAGGGUCGCUACACAGUGAUGUGAUGCCAAUCUCAAAAAGCCCUUCUCAGUUCGGAUUGAAGUCUGCAACUCGACUUCAUGAAGCUGGAAUCGCUAGUAAUCGCGCAUCAGCAAUGGCGCGGUGAAUACGUUCCCGGACCUUGUACACACCGCCCGUCAAGCCAUGGAAGUUGGGUAUACCUGAAGAUGGUUGCCGUGAGGCGCUGUUUAGGGCAGAAUCAGCGACUGGGGCUAAGUCGGAACAAGGUAGCCGUACCGGAAGGUGCGGCUGGAACACCUC